rnacentral:rRNA from 1 species
CCUACGGGAGGCUGCAGUGGGGAAUAUUGCACAAUGGGCGCAAGCCUGAUGCAGCCAUGCCGCGUGUAUGAAGAAGGCCUUCGGGUUGUAAAGUACUUUCAGCGAGGAGGAAGGCAUUGUGGUUAAUAACCACAGUGAUUGACGUUACUCGCAGAAGAAGCACCGGCUAACUCCGUGCCAGCAGCCGCGGUAAUACGGAGGGUGCAAGCGUUAAUCGGAAUUACUGGGCGUAAAGCGCACGCAGGCGGUCUGUCAAGUCGGAUGUGAAAUCCCCGGGCUCAACCUGGGAACUGCAUUCGAAACUGGCAGGCUAGAGUCUUGUAGAGGGGGGUAGAAUUCCAGGUGUAGCGGUGAAAUGCGUAGAGAUCUGGAGGAAUACCGGUGGCGAAGGCGGCCCCCUGGACAAAGACUGACGCUCAGGUGCGAAAGCGUGGGGAGCAAACAGGAUUAGAUACCCUUGUAGUC